UUGACUACGGCUCAGAUUGAACGCUGGCGGGAUGCUUUACUACAUGCAGCCGAACGGCAGCACGGACUUCGGUCUGGUGGCGAGCGGCGAACGGGGUGAGAAAUGUAUCGAACGUGCCUAGUAGUGGGGAUAACUACGCGAAAGCGUAGCUAAUACCGCAUACGCCCUUCGGGGAAAGCGGGGGGACCUUCGGGCCUCGCACUAUUAGGAGCGGCCGAUAUCGGAUUAGCUAGUUGGUGGGGUAACGGCUCACCAAGGCGACGAUCCGUAGCUGGUUUGAGAGACGACCAGCCACAUCCGGGACUGAGACACGGCCCAGACUGCUGGAGGCAGGAAUUUUGGACAAUGAAAUCCCUGAUCCGUGCCAUCCUGCGUGUGCGAUGAAGUGCCUCGGGUUGUAAAAGCACUUUGGCAGGAAGAAACGGCACGGGAUACUACCUCGUGCAACUGACUGUACCUGCAGAAUAAGCACCGCCAACUACGUGCCAGCAGCCGCGGUAAUACGUAGGGGUGCAAGCGUUAAUCGGAAUUACUGGGCGUAAGCGUGCAGGCGGUUCGGAAAGAAAGAUGCACAAAAUCCCAGAGCUUAACUUGGAACUGCACUUUAACUACCGAGCUAGAGUGUCAGAGGGAGGUGGAAUUCGCGUGUAGCAGUGAAAUGCGUAGACAUGCGGAGGAACACCGACAUAAGGCGGGAGCCUCCCGGGAUAACACUGACGCUCAUGCACGAAAGCGUGGGGAGCAAAUUGCGAUUAGAUACCCUGGUAGUCCACGCCCUAAACGAUGUCAACUAGCUGUUGUUUCGGGCCUUGUAGUGCAGCUAACGCGUGAAGUUGACCGCCUGGGGAGUACGGUCGCAAGAUUAAACUCAAAGGAAUUGACGGGGACCCGCACAAGCGGUGGAUGAUGUGGAUUAAUUCCGGAUGCAACGCGAAAACCUUUACCUACCCUUGACAUGUCCGGAAUCCUGAAGAGAUUUGGGAGUGCUCGCAAGAGAACCGGAACACAGGUGCUGCAUGGCUGUCGUCAGCUCUGUCGAGAUGUUGGGUUAAGUCCUGCAACGAGCGCAACUCCUUGGCUAGUUGCUACGAAAGGGCACUCUAAUGAGACUGCUGCGGCCAAACCGAGGAAUGUGCGGGGAUGACGUCAAGUCCUCAUGGCCCUUAUGGGUAGGGCUUCACACGUCAUACAAUGGUCGGGACAGUGGUCGCUUAACCCGCAGCGAGGGGGGAGUUGCCAAUCCUGAAACCCGAUCGUAGUCCGGAUCGCAGUUCGCAACUCGACCGCGUGAAGUCGGAAUCGCUAGUAAUCGCGGAUCAGCAUGUCGCGGUGAAUACGUUCCCGGUCUUGUACACACCGCCUGUCACACCAUGGGAGUGGGUUUUACCAGAAGUAGUUAGCCUUAACCGUAAGGAGUGGGGCGAUUACCACGGUAGGAUCUGGCGACUGGGGUGAAGUCGUGGCCAGCGUAG
rnacentral:rRNA from 1 species